rnacentral:rRNA from 1 species
GAUGAACGCUGGCGGCGUGCCUAAUACAUGCAAGUCGAGCGAACGGACGAGAAGCUUGCUUCUCUGAUGUUAGCGGCGGACGGGUGAGUAACACGUGGAUAACCUACCUAUAAGACUGGGAUAACUUCGGGAAACCGGAGCUAAUACCGGAUAAUAUUUUGAACCGCAUGGUUCAAAAGUGAAAGACGGUCUUGCUGUCACUUAUAGAUGGAUCCGCGCUGCAUUAGCUAGUUGGUAAGGUAACGGCUUACCAAGGCAACGAUGCAUAGCCGACCUGAGAGGGUGAUCGGCCACACUGGAACUGAGACACGGUCCAGACUCCUACGGGAGGCAGCAGUAGGGAAUCUUCCGCAAUGGGCGAAAGCCUGACGGAGCAACGCCGCGUGAGUGAUGAAGGUCUUCGGAUCGUAAAACUCUGUUAUUAGGGAAGAACAUAUGUGUAAGUAACUGUGCACAUCUUGACGGUACCUAAUCAGAAAGCCACGGCUAACUACGUGCCAGCAGCCGCGGUAAUACGUAGGUGGCAAGCGUUAUCCGGAAUUAUUGGGCGUAAAGCGCGCGUAGGCGGUUUUUUAAGUCUGAUGUGAAAGCCCACGGCUCGACCGUGGAGGGUCAUUGGAAACUGGAAAACUUGAGUGCAGAAGAGGAAAGUGGAAUUCCAUGUGUAGCGGUGAAAUGCGCAGAGAUAUGGAGGAACACCAGUGGCGAAGGCGACUUUCUGGCCUGUAACUGACGCUGAUGUGCGAAAGCGUGGGGAUCAAACAGGAUUAGAUACCCUGGUAGUCCACGCCGUAAACGAUGAGUGCUAAGUGUUAGGGGGUUUCCGCCCCUUAGUGCUGCAGCUAACGCAUUAAGCACUCCGCCUGGGGAGUACGACCGCAAGGUUGAAACUCAAAGGAAUUGACGGGGACCCGCACAAGCGGUGGAGCAUGUGGUUUAAUUCGAAGCAACGCGAAGAACCUUACCAAAUCUUGACAUCCUUUGACAACUCUAGAGAUAGAGCCUUCCCCUUCGGGGGACAAAGUGACAGGUGGUGCAUGGUUGUCGUCAGCUCGUGUCGUGAGAUGUUGGGUUAAGUCCCGCAACGAGCGCAACCCUUAAGCUUAGUUGCCAUCAUUAAGUUGGGCACUCUAAGUUGACUGCCGGUGACAAACCGGAGGAAGGUGGGGAUGACGUCAAAUCAUCAUGCCCCUUAUGAUUUGGGCUACACACGUGCUACAAUGGACAAUACAAAGGGCAGCGAAACCGCGAGGUCAAGCAAAUCCCAUAAAGUUGUUCUCAGUUCGGAUUGUAGUCUGCAACUCGACUACAUGAAGCUGGAAUCGCUAGUAAUCGUAGAUCAGCAUGCUACGGUGAAUACGUUCCCGGGUCU